CGAGUGAUUUUCAAACGUCCGUUUUGUGAGAAUGGCAGGUUGCUGGCAAAGCACACGAAAGCUCGAUAAAUAACGAUUACAACAUCGAUAACAGCAGGAUUUCGUUAGAUUACUGUUCCGGGCACACUGAUUACCAUUCAAGAGCAACGGACAGCAAUUUUUGGACUGUUUUACUGUAUUUCUCGAAUUCAGUACAAUACGAAAACUUAUACAUGACUUAUUUGUAUGCACAAACUUGAUUAAUGUUAAUGGGUUGGUUUGUAACAGUAAUGUUUUCUGAAUGUGAUAUCAAUUAUUAAUGGAUUUUAUGAUAGCUUAAUACACUAAAUGCCCUUCUUCUUUCUAUGCUAUGUACAAUCUUAUAUAUUUAAUGUAAACUAGAAAAAUCAACCA